rnacentral:rRNA from 1 species
GACGAGGGGUCCAAGCGUUGUUCGGAAUCAUUGGGCGUAAAGCGUGUGUAGGCGGAUCUAUAAGUCAGAAGUGAAAGCCCCGGGCUCAACCUGGGAAGUGCUUUUGAUACUGCAGAUCUUGAAUGUGGGAGAGGGUAGUGGAAUUCCAGGUGUAGUGGUGAAAUACGUAGAUAUCUGGAGGAACACCGGUGGCGAAGGCGGCUACCUGGCCCAACAUUGACGCUGAGACACGAAAGCAUGGGGAUCAAACAGG